rnacentral:rRNA from 1 species
UGGGGAAUAUUGGACAAUGGGCGAAAGCCUGAUCCAGCCAUGCCGCGUGAGUGAUGAAGGCCUUAGGGUUGUAAAGCUCUUUUGCCAGGGAAGAUGAUGACGGUACCUGGAGAAUAAGCCCCGGCUAACUUCGUGCCAGCAGCCGCGGUAAUACGAAGGGGGCUAGCGUUGUUCGGAAUUACUGGGCGUAAAGGGCGCGUAGGCGGCCGUUUAAGUUAGGUGUGAAAGUCCUGGGCUCAACCUGGGGACUGCACUUAAUACUGGAUGGCUUGAAUUCGGGAGAGGAUAGCGGAAUUCCCAGUGUAGAGGUGAAAUUCGUAGAUAUUGGGAAGAACACCGGUGGCGAAGGCGGCUAUCUGGACCGACAUUGACGCUGAGGCGCGAAAGCGUGGGGAGCAA